UACGCCUCAUGGCCUCCUCGGAUGUGUUGCAAAAGACGAUCAAUUGGAUCAGCACCAACCCGGGCUGCUUCUUGGCACGGCCCUGCCUCCAGAAAGCGGGCGAUUAGGAAGUAGAGCUCUGGUGUGGUUGCGGACGGAGAGAAGAGGCACAGGGUUACCGAUUCGUCGCGAGCGGGAAGGGAGGACAUGAACGACAACCUUGGCACGUUUCUCCCGAGCUCCGCUACUCACCAGAAGUCAACUGCGCGAUAUGGGGACUGUCUGAAGCCAUGUUUGUUGGCGUGGUUCGGUGAGGCGGCCAGCAACGCCGGAGCCGGGCCGCUGGGUGUCGGUGGCUGCCCUGUAGCUGUCACUGUUUAUCCACCAGGAAGAGACUGCCUCCAUUCAACACCGUACAAAACAGGCCCGGCUCUACUUGACGUGCUCCUCCGCUCGGCGCCGAGUCUAGUGCCCGUGACACGGAUUAGCCCACCAAACAUGACUGAAAACCCCUGAACACGAAAUACACACACACCACACGUUUGUAUAUGUGUCAGUGGUAUUUUAAAUGAUGAAUUUUGCCAGAAAAUGUGGUGCUUUUGUCCACCACCACCCACCCCCAAAACGGGGGAAACGCGGAAGGAUAUCAGAGGUGUAUUUCACCAGUGGAGGAGAAGGCUAUAAUGGCAGCCGAAUCCAAGUAAAGACACUCGGCAAAAGCGGCCGCUGUCUAACGGCUGGGUGGCAUUUGAUGCAUUCAUAAUGGAAAAGGCACCGUUUUCUACAGUUUAUGUGGACAUAUCUUACAUUCUUUGACGUCAAACUUGGGUUCGUUGUCCUCGCGCGCGAUUGUUUUUUGUUGGUUUGUUUGUUUGUUUCGCUUAGCUAGCGCUAGCUCCUUUAAAAUCCAACACGCCAGUGUUUUUGCUUUUAAACGGUGGUAUCCCCGGCUAACACACCCGAGCUCUCUGCGCGCCUCCUCGGCGUGGAAGACGCCCGUGUACAUGUCUCUUCGUCACGCCGCCUGGCUGUAAAAUGGGGGAAGGGUUGUCGGUGGUGGAGGGGCCAUGCAGCCUAAUGAAGGAAGUCCUGUGAGUUACUGGAAAGCAAACUUAGCACAAAUAUAAUCACUGAUGCUCCAAAACUUUUCAUGUUAAAUCCAUGAAAUAUACAUAUUGCACAUCUUGACCAAAAUCUCCUACUCCUGCACAUUGGGUUGGGCGGUCCAACUAAAUAUCAAUCGUAUAAAUACUGAUUGAAUCAGUAUAGCGCUGAUACUAAAGCGGUGAGAUUGAUAUUUUUCAGUUCUCUUGUGUAUAUUGUGACAAAUAUGUGUUGGGGUUUUUGUGUUGUUCAAAUUGUUACAUAUGGUGGGCAACAGGACAAACAAAAAUGAUCGAAACACCAUAUACCAAAUGCAAGGGCAAUUGCAUAAAUGCCGCCAGAUCAACAACAACAGCAUGAGAGAAAUUCAGGUUGGCGGAACAAAACUGACUCCAGGUGCAUCAGACCACGAGCGGGAUGCCUGUCUUUAAAGUCAUGAGUCGGAUGCCCACGAGAAAGUUGGCUUUUAUCGAGGCGGAGUGGAAAGGUCAACGUGAUUUGAAGAAGAGCACACGUCUGCCUUUCUGUGACACCGGAAGCUCCCUGGCCACUUCCCUCUGAGGACAUCCUGUGUCAAGCCACGUGACCCCUGGCGACCUCAUACGGCUGCACACGCGUUGGCUUUGUGCAGGCCUCACUCUCAUCAAAAGGCACUCCUGGACCACACCCAACGCUCCGGCACAACCUCUGAGAUGGAACACCAUGGGCUGCUCGAUAACUGACAUACUAGCCAACCACUGUGAGUGUAUGCUGUCAAACAAAACAUAACGCCAGCAGACAUCGGAUUAAGGGCACUGGCUUUUAAAUCCAUGCUUAGCGCCCUCUGCUAUGGUUGGAGCAUGGGCAGAGCCCCGGCCGGUUUGGGCAGGCAAUGGUUAAAGUCAUAUUUGCACAUUUUUAGCUGUCAUACACGUGUGAAAACAUAUGAAGCACUGUGAUGGUAUAAAACAUCACGAAAACAUUUCUCCUUAUAUGUUACGCACAUAUUGUACUGAGCAGCCAGGACAAUACCACAGUAGGUUUAAUUUCCUGUUCUAUGGUUAUCAUCGUAUUUCCCCUCUCUGCUGCCGCAUCGGUGAAAGUUGAAUUGAAAAGUGUUCGUCUUGCGUCAACCUUUGUGUGAUUGUUUUUUUCCCUGUUUGCCUUUUUAAACAUCAAGUAGGGUAAACAUUUUAAUCCAUAAAAAGUUUUAAAAAUCCAAGACAAGAAGUCAACUUUUUCUUUUAUUUGAAAAUAUUCUGCCAACAGAAUGAGUCUCCCAGUGAUGAACACAAGCACCACUGCUUAUUGCUAUGUCACUGUGCGGGGUGUGGGGGGUUAUAGAAAAGGUGCUAAGGGCCGUUCUAAAAACCACAAACUAUAAAAAUGCUGCACAUGUUCUCCAUCUUUCCCUUCCCUCAGCGCUCUGCAAGUAAGCGGGUGUCCUCCCG